CAGUAUUCUAAUAAAUUUCAUAGCGAAGAAAACAUACCCGAUCUUAAAUAAAAAAAAUAUGAAAUUAUUACAAUUAUUUUUCAUAGUUGGCUGCAUUGUUACCGUUGCAGUGGGAGCUCCAUGUCGCGUUCUUAAAUGGAUCAAAGAACAAAUACCCGAAAUUAAGAUACCCAAUAUUCAUUUACCCAAAAUUGAGUUACCCGAUAUUUAUUUGCCCAAUGUUAACUUUGGUAAUCUCAAUAUAGGAUGGAACUAGAUAGAUGUGCAACUUAGUGGAAAAUAUAUUAAAAAUAUUUAUUUUUUCCCAAACCUUAUGGCUGACACAACAACAAAAUUCAUUCAAUUACAUGAGUUUUAUUGUUGCAAGAUUUAGGCCAACAAGCAUAACACCUUGAAAUUUAAUAAAUAUUUAUUUGAAAACCUU